rnacentral:lncRNA from 1 species
CCCUCCACCGUGCUCUGCGCGUGUGUUGCUAGGUGUGGCUGCUUCCUCGACGUUCAAGCGUGGUUUUGAGGUGACCCUCGGCUCCGGUGACAGUUUCCAAGGCAAAGGACAUGAGUUAGCUGGUUAACUGUCCUAACAGGGGAAACCAAGUCUUUUAAUAGACCCGAUCUCUAGCCAGCUAACCAUUCUAAGUCUGACUGAGGACUGGAGAGAGAGCUAAGUGAUGAAGAGCACUGGACACUUUUGCAAAGGACCUGGGUUCAAUUUGCAGCACCUGCAUGAUGGCUCACACAAUUCUAUCAUGGCAGUCCUUCUGACCUCUGCAGGCACAGCAUACAUGUGGUACCCAGACAUACAUACAAGCAAAACACCCAUAAGCAAAAAUACACCCCCAAGUUAAAAAUAUGACACAUUCCUAAAGGCAGUUCCACUGUCUGAGUCUCCUGAAUACUGGCAGUACAGACUUGUGCCACCAUGCUCAAUGCCAUUACCAGCUUAAAUGACCAUGGCUGUACAUGUGGCCUCUGAAGUCCGAAGUGUUUUCCUGCUGCACAUGGCCCUCUUGGAAAGAGUUGUCAGCCCUCUUGACCGUGAGCACCUCGGACUGUGGCCUUGUGUCCUCUCACAGCCCUGAGGCUGACCUCUGCAGCGCACACUUUUCACCCCAUGCCUGUCUGCUGCCUGCCCAGGCCACAUUGACUUUUCUCACCAGUGACUUUCUGUAAAUUAUCUUCCUAACUCCUGACAGCUGGUAAUGUAACUUCCUAUGAAUUGCUGGUCCUGAACAGAGAAACCAACCAGUUCUAACUGAGGAGGGCAUUGUACUUGUGUAACAUCUUACAAGAAACUAUGAAGUCAAGUGUUGCUUUGAUCUUAGCAUGCUCGGGAUGAAUAAAGAUUAUGAUCGG